AUGUUUAUGUUAAUCUCAAUGAUAAUAAUAAUGAAAAAUAAUUAUAAUAAAGCAAAGACUGAGACAGUUUGUCGAGGUAAGCAAAUUUAAAUAACAAUUUACUGAGAGCAGGGAAACAACGCGUUCAAAAUGAGAUUGAAACAGAGAUUGUAAAGCUACAUUUCAAGUCUAUCUCAUCAUCAUUAUCGCCAUCAUAAUCAUCAUAUUCAACUUUAUUAUAAUUACGUUCAUGAUGAUAAUAAUAGUUGAACAGUUGAAAGGAAGAAACAAACAAACAUUCGUUUAAAUUAUGGUCAACUGGUUAUUACUAUUAUUACAUGUAUCUGUGAUUGUAAUCAUAAGUAAACAGUAAGGAGUAAUCAACUAAAAUUGACUUUGUUAAAUUAACCCAAAAUUUUCCCUUUUUUGUGGUUAAAUUAACAUCUUUACCAUUAGUAUUAUCAAAUUUAGAAUCACAGUGCUGUUCCGAUGCUGCUUCAAUGUGAAUCAGUUUAAGUUAGACCUAAAAGUAACAAUUGACAAAAUUAUUUACAUAGGAAUCACGGUCUAAAAUUAAUUCAUUAGUUGAUUUAUCAUCCAAAAUAUUAACCAAAAAAGGGAAACAUUAAAUUAAUGGAAACAUUUCAAGAUAAUCAUUUUAUAAAAGGCAAAAUUAACCUGCAACAACUUGAAACGCUUAAAUCGCCAAGUUGGUUCAAGUUGGGUUAAGUUGAUAUAGAAAGAAGGUUAUUCAUUGCGCUGUUAAUCCAUUAAAUUGUCCAUUGUAAAUAAUUCAUUAAUCAGUACUGCCAUUUUGUGGUCCAUUGUAUUAACCAUUGCAUUAACAGCUUCUAGAUUUAGGCUCAAUUAAGCAACAAUCAAAUGAGUAACAAAGGCUGUGUAUACAAAGAGCCUUUCUUGGAUACUUAUGACAAUGUUGAUAAUGUUAGCUGUUCAAUUGUUUUACAGGAAAAGUGUAACUGAAUUUUGUGUUAAUUAGAAUGAUAAUUUGAUGUUGUGAUUAACCAAGCAAGAAGCUGGAACAAGGAAUCAAGAUGAAGAUUAUCACAGAAGCGGAAUACAAGUCUAUGUCUAUGUACAUUAUCGGAUGACAGUUAAGACGAAAUGUGGUCCAAGAUGAAGAUGGUGAAGGAGAAGAUGAAAAAGGAUCCCGCUCGUCUUUGGUGGGUUAACAGACUUUCCAAGUCACAAAUAUUUUUUUGGCAACAUCACCAUCAACAGAAUAUAAAGUCAAAAAUUAGUCUACAAACGUUGGACCUUUUUCCGUAAAAAAAAAGAAAGCAAGAAAGGAAAGAAAAAGUUAAUUGUAUUUACAGUGAAAAUACACUUUUUUGUUUUGUCUCAUCUUCUAGUCUUGCAGUAUUUAGAGAUCGCUCGUUGUCAAUUGUCGGUUAUGGUUCAGAUAAAGAGCAAUACAACAUCAGUGGCUUCAUUGAGUGUCACCAAGUGACAAAAUAAUAACACAGUUUAACAUCAUCAACGAUAUCACAUCUAUUUCUUAUUCAUCAUCAUCAUCAUCAACAGGAAACAAAUGCAAAGGUCACUGGAUUUUGCCUACUUUUGUUAUUUUGGUUUAACGGAAAAAUCACAGAUUUUAACAAAUAUAUUUGGUUCCUCGGGUUAAAAAUAUUGAUGGCUAUUCAACUCAUUGUUAAUUUGAUAGCAGGUUUGAUGAAUUUGGUGAUAAUUUUGAAUAUUACUAAUUCAUUUAAAUAAUAUCAUCACCAACAGCUAUAAAUAGGCUGUGAUGUGAUAAUUACUCUGCAAUGAUAACUUUUCCAUUAAUAUUGAAUUAAUCAACGCGUAAAUGAGUAAAGUCACAUUUUUCAGACUGAACAUGUCAUUUUAAUUAAUGUUCAUUUUUUGCUUCGUUUUGCUUUCCUUUUUCUCCAAUAUAACAGUAAAAUAUAAACAUGUUUUAGUUGUUUUUGCGCUUUGCCUUUGUAAGUCGAGAAAAAUUUCUUUUACCAUUCCUUGUUCUAAUCUUCGAAGUUGGAAUUACUCCUGUGCUUUCGGUGCCUUUUUUGUUGAUUUGAAGUUUAACUGGUGAUGAGUACAAGUCUUUUACACACUUCAAGGAUAAAAACAGCGAUAAAUGAAAAAAAAAAUGAAAGCAAAAGUAAGGGCAAAGAAAAUAUGAAAGAUGAGAAGGAAAGAAUGAGAAUGCAGAAAAAAGGGUUGAAUGGGUGAGAUGAAAAAAAGACGAAGACAUAGUAAUCAAAGAAAUUACGAUAAACCAAAACAAAGAUUUUUAAAAAUUUAUACAUGGAAAGAACGAGUUGUUUUCUGCCUUUUUUCGCAAAUUUUUGUUUCUUUAGAGGUCUUUGAUUUAUUUCUCUCCAAGGUGUAAAUCAUUUUCAAGGUUGUUCACGUUGUUUGCGUUGUUUACAAUCUUCCGGUGUUUUCAUUGUUUCCGUUUUGGUAUCAUGGAAAUAUGAUAGUUUCUUGUGUUUUCUCUGUGAAUGCCUCUCAAAAUUUCACUUUUCAUGAUAUAAGUUUUCCUUUGGAUCAUUUGUUGAGCUGAAUUUUACAUAAUUGGGAGGCUUAACACUUUUGCUGAUCUUCAAUAGAUAAUAUUUACUCUGGUUGGUUUUAUUUCAUCAGAUGACGAAUGGUUUUUGAUAUUGAUUCCAUUUAUAUUUCAGUGGCCAAGCAUUGAUUGAAGGCUUGUUUUUCCGUUGGGCUUGAAUAUUGUUGAUUUAAAUUAAUCAAAAAGAUAUUUUUAGUUUUUUUCUCAGCACAUAAUAUCAUUCAUACAAAAGGCCGAGAGAUAGAGAGAAAAAUAAGAGAAUGGGAAUAUUUGUAUGCGUAUAUGUAUGUAGAUAGAGACAAGAGAAUGAAAAGGAAAGAGGAGAAAGUAAAAGUGGAGGAGAAGAGAAA